rnacentral:rRNA from 1 species
GACGAACGCUGGCGGCGUGCUUAACACAUGCAAGUCGAACGGGAAGGCCCUGCGUUUGUGGGGUGCUCGAGUGGCGAACGGGUGAGUGACAAGUGAGUAACCUGCCCUUGACUUUGGGAUAACUUCAGGAAACUAGGGCUAAUAACGGAUAGGAGCUCCUGCUGCAUGGUGGGGGAUGGAAAGUUUCGGCGGUUUGGGAUGGACUCGCGGCUUAUGAGCUUGUUGGUGGGGUAGUGGCUUACCAGGUCUUUGACGGGUAGCCGGCCUGAGCGGGGGACAGGACACAUUGGGACUGAGAUGCGGCCCAGACUCCUACGGGAGGGAGCGGUGGGGUAGAGUGCACUAUGGGCGGAAGCCAAAUGCAGCAACGCCGCGUGCGGGAUGACGGCAUUCGGGUUGUAAACCGCUUUCGCCUGUGACGAAGCGUGAGUGACGGUAAUGGGUAAAGAAGCACCGGCUAACUACGUG